GAUGAACGCUAGCUACAGGCUUAACACAUGCAAGUCGCGGGGCAGCAUGGGGGUUGCUUGCAAUCCCCGAUGGCGACCGGCGCACGGGUGAGUAACGCGUAUCCAACCUGCCCUUCACCACGGGAUAACCCGGCGAAAGUCGGACUAAUACCGCAUGUUGUCCAUUGACGGCAUCCGAUUUGGACGAAAGGUUUGGCGGUGAAGGAUGGGGAUGCGUCCGAUUAGCUGGUCGGCGGGGUGACGGCCCACCGUGGCGACGAUCGGUAGGGGUUCUGAGAGGAAGGUCCCCCACACUGGAACUGAGACACGGUCCAGACUCCUACGGGAGGCAGCAGUGAGGAAUAUUGGUCAAUGGGCGUAAGCCUGAACCAGCCAAGUAGCGUGCAGGAUGACGGCCCUAUGGGUUGUAAACUGCUUUUAUGCGGGGAUAAAGUGGCCCACGUGUGGGUUUUUGCAGGUACCGCAUGAAUAAGGACCGGCUAAUUCCGUG
rnacentral:rRNA from 1 species